rnacentral:rRNA from 1 species
AACGAACGCUGGCGGCAGGCUUAACACAUGCAAGUCGAACGGGCAUAGCAAUAUGUCAGUGGCAGACGGGUGAGUAACACGUGGGAACCUUCCUAGAGGUACGGAACAACGCAGGGAAACUUGUGCUAAUACCGUAUACGCUCGAGAGAGGAAAGAUUUAUCGCCUUUAGACGGGCCCGCGUAGGAUUAGGUAGUUGGUGAGGUAACGGCUCACCAAGCCUACGAUCCUUAGCUGAUCUGAGAGGAUGAUCAGCCACACUGGGACUGAGACACGGCCCAGACUCCUACGGGAGGCAGCAGUGGGGAAUCUUGGACAAUGGGCGCAAGCCUGAUCCAGCUAUGCCGCGUGAGUGAAGAAGGCCUUCGGGUUGUAAAGCUCUUUUACCAGGGACGAUAAUGACGGUACCUGGAGAAUAAGCCCCGGCUAACUUCGUGCCAGCAGCCGCGGUAAAAC